GAGUUUGAUCGUGGCUCAGAUUGAACGCUGGCGGCAGGCCUAACACAUGCAAGUCGAGCGGAUGAAGGGAGCUUGCUCCUGGAUUCAGCGGUGGACGGGUGAGUAAUGCCUAGGAAUCUGCCUGGUAGUGGGGGAUAACGUCCGGAAACGGGCGCUAAUACCGCAUACGUCCUGAGGGAGAAAGUGGGGGAUCUUCGGACCUCACGCUAUCAGAUGAGCCUAGGUCGGAUUAGCUAGUUGGUGGGGUAAAGGCCUACCAAGGCGACGAUCCGUAACUGGUCUGAGAGGAUGAUCAGUCACACUGGAACUGAGACACGGUCCAGACUCCUACGGGAGGCAGCAGUGGGGAAUAUUGGACAAUGGGCGAAAGCCUGAUCCAGCCAUGCCGCGUGUGUGAAGAAGGUCUUCGGAUUGUAAAGCACUUUAAGUUGGGAGGAAGGGCAGUAAGUUAAUACCUUGCUGUUUGACGUUACCAACAGAAUAAGCACCGGCUAACUUCGUGCCAGCCGCCGCA
rnacentral:rRNA from 1 species